CAGCAGCCGCGGGAACACCAGCACCUCGAGUGGUCAGGAGGUUUAUUGGGCCUAAAGCAUCCGUAGCCGGUUGCAUAAGUUUUCGGUUAAAUCUAUGCGCUUAACGUAUAGGCCGCCGAAAAUACUGUGCAGCUAGGGAGUGGGAGAGGUACACGGUACUCGAUAGGAAGGGGUAAAAUCCUUUGAUCUAUUGAUGACCACCUGUGGCGAAGGCGGUGUACCAGAACACGUUCGACGGUGAGGGAUGAAAGCUGGGGGAGCAAACCGGAUUAGAUACCCGCGUAGUCCCUGUCUCUUAUAU
rnacentral:rRNA from 1 species